rnacentral:rRNA from 1 species
UGGGGAAUAUUGGACAAUGGGCGCAAGCCUGAUCCAGCAAUGCCGCGUGUGUGAAGAAGGCCUUCGGGUUGUAAAGCACUUUUAUCAGGAGCGAAACGCUGUCGGCUAAUACCCGGCGGAACUGACGGUACCUGAGGAAUAAGCACCGGCUAACUUCGUGCCAGCAGCCGCGGUAAUACGAAGGGUGCAAGCGUUAAUCGGAAUUACUGGGCGUAAAGCGUGCGUAGGCGGUUUCUUAAGUCUGCUGUGAAAUCCCCGGGCUCAACCUGGGAAUGGCAGUGGAUACUGGGAGGCUAGAGUGUGUCAGAGGGUGGUGGAAUUCCCGGUGUAGCGGUGAAAUGCGUAGAGUCGGGAGGAACAUCAGUGGCGAAAGGCGGCCACCUGGGACAACACUGACGCUGAGGCACGAAAGCGUGGGGAGCAAACAGGAUUAGAUACCCUGGUAGUCCACGCCCUAAAACGAUGCGAACUGGAUGUUGGUCUCAACUCGGAGAUCAGUGUCGAAGCUAACGCGUUAAGUUCGCCGCCUGGGGGAGUACGGUCGUAAGACUGAAACUUAAAUGAAUUGACGGGGUCAUAGCUGUUUCCU